AUUGAACGCUGGCGGAAUGCUUUACACAUGCAAGUCGAACGGCAGCACGGACUUCGGUCUGGUGGCGAGUGGCGAACGGGUGAGUAAUACAUCGGAACGUGCCCAGUCGUGGGGGAUAACGUAGCGAAAGCUACGCUAAUACCGCAUACGAUCUAAGGAUGAAAGCGGGGGACCGUAAGGCCUCGCGCGAUUGGAGCGGCCGGUGGCAGAUUAGGUAGUUGGUGGGGUAAAGGCUCACCAAGCCGACGAUCUGUAGCUGGUCUGAGAGGACGACCAGCCACACUGGGACUGAGACACGGCCCAGCCGCCUACGGGAGGCAGCAGUGGGGAAUUUUGGACAAUGGGCGCAAGCCUGAUCCAGCCAUUCCGCGUGCAGGAUGAAGUCCCUCGGGUUGUAAACUGCUUUUGUACGGAACGAAAAGGCUCUGGUUAAUACCUGGGGCUCAUGACGGUACCGUAAGAAUAAGCACCGGCUAACUACGUGCCAGCAGCCGCAGUAA
rnacentral:rRNA from 1 species